rnacentral:rRNA from 1 species
AACGAACGCUGGCGGCAGGCCUAACACAUGCAAGUCGAGCGCGCCCUUCGGGGUGAGCGGCGGACGGGUGAGUAACGCGUGGGAACGUGCCCUUCUCUGCGGAAUAGCCUCGGGAAACUGAGAGUAAUACCGCAUACGCCCUUUGGGGGAAAGAUUUAUCGGAGAAGGAUCGGCCCGCGUUGGAUUAGGUAGUUGGUGGGGUAAUGGCCCACCAAGCCGACGAUCCAUAGCUGGUUUGAGAGGAUGAUCAGCCACACUGGGACUGAGACACGGCCCAGCCUCCUACGGGAAGCAGCAGUGGGGAAUCUUAGACAAUGGGGGCAACCCUGAUCUAGCCAUGCCGCGUGAGUGAUGAAGGCCUUAGGGUUGUAAAGCUCUUUCAGCUGGGAAGAUAAUGACGGUACCAGCAGAAGAAGCCCCGGCUAACUCCGUG